ensembl:lncRNA
CGAUACUGUUACUUCACAUGCUCCUGCAAGGUAGAUUAGAAUCUGCUGCUCCUGAACUUAAUUUGCUGGCAGCAUCUUUAAAAUACUUUCUAGAGCGUUUGGAUCGUAAUCAUUUUUAAGGCUUGAAACUUACUAAAUGAAGCAAAACAAUCUGUUCUCCUUUUGUAUUAAAAAAAAAUAGAUUUAAAUUGUUCUACAUUGUAAAAUCUAAUGUCAGGGUAAGUGUGUGCAAGUAACCUUUUCACCCUCCAGUUGAUACAAAGGACUGUUCUCACUUCACAGAAAUGCCUCUGCGUAGACUGUGGUUCCAUCUGAACCAAUUUGUUUUUGGCUUCUGACUAAAAAGCAUACAAAGAGAUAGUCCAGGCUUCGAUGUCCUAAAACAGGAAACUCAAAAGCGAUGUGGGCCAAUUCAGAGGCAGUCAUUCUGUACUAUGCAGUCAUGGGCCAUUGAAGGAAAAGAAGAAAGUGGCUUUGGGCAAAGUCUGCCUACUUGUAGCAGAAGUCCAAGAGGUAGUCAUCUCUGCAGGCACUGAAGAGGAUACUUUUGCUGCUUCAGAUUGCUUCAUCCUACUAUCCCAGGAAACCUGGAAUCAUUGUGGAAAUAGGAAAGGCAAGUCAUGGAACAGGAUUUGUUCGUUGUGCUUUCAUUAAAAAUAGGAACUGAGGAGGAACCAUACAAAAGCAUUUUUCUCAGGGUGGCUCAGAAAUAGUGGUGCAGGCCUCUGCAGUCUGAGGUGUGGUG